UACAGAGGGUGCUAGCGUUGUUCGGAAUUAUUGGGCGUAAAGGGCAGGUAGGUUGUCUUGUUAGUCUACUGUGAAAUCCCUGGGCUUAACCCAGGAACUGCGGUGGAUACUGCAAGACUAGAGUACUGGAGGGGUGCGUGGAAUUCCCGGUGUAGCGGUGAAAUGCGUAGAGAUGUGGGGGAACACCGAUGGCGAAGGCAGCCCCCUGGGCUAACACUGACGCUGAUGCGCGAAAGCUAGGGGAGCGAACGGG
rnacentral:rRNA from 1 species